GCAAGUCGAACGGUAUUGUUUUUCUAUUUUAUAGGAGAGCAAGAGAGUGGCGAACGGGUGAGUAACACGUAGGUAAUCUGCCUAUCAAACUGGGAUAGCCAGUGGAAACAUGGGUAAUACCGGAUACGUGCUAAGCAAGGAAUUGUUUAGCACAAAGGGUACGUAAGUGCCGUUGAUAGAGGGGCCUGCGUCUGAUUAGCUAGUUGGUAGGGUAAAGGCCUACCAAGGCAGUGACCAAUAGCCGGCCUGAGAGGGUGAAC
rnacentral:rRNA from 1 species